CGGCGGUGCGCAGCUGUGAACAGCUCGUUGAUGGGGACUAGGCGAACAUGGAUUCACACUUAUACCAUGCGUUUGAUAUUAUGUGCCUGGAGUUGGAAGAGCUGGUGUGUGGUCCUCACAUGAGUUCCCGCUCAUCAAUUUUCUAUUGAAGAUAAGUGUAUUUUUCUUUGCAAUUUUGUUGUUCCCAAUUGCUUGUUGUUUACUAGGCCUCAGGGAGACACUGGUUCGUUCAUCUGGGAAGGAACCAGUGGUUUCAGACCCUGUCACUUCUCCUAGGGAUAUUCAGGGUUACUAGGG